rnacentral:tRNA from 1 species
GGUUAGAUGGCCGAGCGGUCUAAGGCGCCACGUUAAGGUUAUCUUCAAACCCUUAAAACAUCUUGUUCUCCGUGGUCCGAAAGGGCGUGGGUUCGAAUCCCACUCUAAUCA